AAUGAACGUUGGCGGCAUGCCUUACACAUGCAAGUCGAACGGCAGCAUGACCUAGCUUGCUAGGUUGAUGGCGAGUGGCGAACGGGUGAGUAAUGCAUCGGAACGUGCCUUUUAGUGGGGGAUAACGUAGCGAAAGUUACGCUAAUACCGCAUAUUCUCUGAGGAGGAAAGCAGGGGACCUUCGGGCCUUGCGCUAGAAGAGCGGCCGAUGUCGGAUUAGCUAGUUGGUGAGGUAAAGGCUCACCAAGGCAACGAUCCGUAGCGGGUCUGAGAGGAUGAUCCGCCACACUGGGACUGAGACACGGCCCAGACUCCUACGGGAGGCAGCAGUGGGGAAUUUUGGACAAUGGGCGCAAGCCUGAUCCAGCCAUGCCGCGUGAGUGAAGAAGGCCUUCGGGUUGUAAAGCUCUUUCGGCUGGGAAGAAAUCGCACCCUCUAAUACAGGGUGUGGAUGACGGUACCAGCAUAAGAAGCACCGGCUAACUACGU
rnacentral:rRNA from 1 species